rnacentral:piRNA from 1 species
UCGGAGAAGCUCCCGAGUGUCCGGCCUAGA